rnacentral:rRNA from 1 species
UCCAGCUCAGAUUGAACGCUGGCGGCAGGCCUAACACAUGCAAGUCGAGCGGAUGAGAGGAGCUUGCUCCUUGAUUUAGCGGCGGACGGGUGAGUAAUGCCUAGGAAUCUGCCUGGUAGUGGGGGAUAACGUUCCGAAAGGAACGCUAAUACCGCAUACGUCCUACGGGAGAAAGCAGGGGACCUUCGGGCCUUGCGCUAUCAGAUGAGCCUAGGUCGGAUUAGCUAGUUGGUGAGGUAAUGGCUCACCAAGGCGACGAUCCGUAACUGGUCUGAGAGGAUGAUCAGUCACACUGGAACUGAGACACGGUCCAGACUCCUACGGGAGGCAGCAGUGGGGAAUAUUGGACAAUGGGCGAAAGCCUGAUCCAGCCAUGCCGCGUGUGUGAAGAAGGUCUUCGGAUUGUAAAGCACUUUAAGUUGGGAGGAAGGGCAUUAACCUAAUACGUUAGUGUUUUGACGUUACCGACAGAAUAAGCACCGGCUAACUUCGUGCCAGCAGCCGCGGUAAUACGAAGGGUGCAAGCGUUAAUCGGAAUUACUGGGCGUAAAGCGCGCGUAGGUGGUUCGUUAAGUUGGAUGUGAAAGCCCCGGGCUCAACCUGGGAACUGCAUCCAAAACUGGCGAGCUAGAGUACGGUAGAGGGUGGUGGAAUUUCCUGUGUAGCGGUGAAAUGCGUAGAUAUAGGAAGGAACACCAGUGGCGAAGGCGACCACCUGGACUGAUACUGACACUGAGGUCGAAGGACGGG